rnacentral:rRNA from 1 species
AUUGAACGCUGGCGGCAGGCUUAACACAUGCAAGUCGAGCGAGCGGCGGACGGGUGAGUAAUGUCUGGGAAACUGCCUGAUGGAGGGGGAUAACUACUGGAAACGGUAGCUAAUACCGCAUACCAUCAGAUGUGCCCAGAUGGGAUUAGCUAGUAGGUGGGGUAAUGGCUCACCUAGGCGACGAUCCCUAGCUGGUCUGAGAGGAUGACCAGCCACACUGGAACUGAGACACGGUCCAGACUCCUACGUGAGGCAGCAGUGGGGAAUAUUGCACAAUGGGCGCAAGCCUGAUGCAGCCAUGCCGCGUGUGUGAAGAAGGCCUUCGGGUUGUAAAGCACUGUCAGCGAGGAGGCGUUACUCGCAGAAGAAGCACCGGCUAACUCCGUGCCAGCCGCCGCGGUAAUUC